CGGCAGUUAGUCUAACUAAAACAACUAAUUUCGACUUAGUUACUCUAGGUUUAAACCCUAGACUGCCAU
rnacentral:tRNA from 1 species